UACGAAGGGGGCUAGCGUUGUUCGGAAUUACUGGGCGUAAAGCGCACGUAGGCGGGUUGUUAAGUCAGGGGUGAAAUCCUGGAGCUCAACUCCAGAACUGCCUUUGAUACUGGCAACCUAGAGACUGGAAGAGGUUAGUGGAAUUCCCAGUGUAGAGGUGAAAUUCGUAGAUAUGGGAAGAACACCAGUGGCGAAGGCGG
rnacentral:rRNA from 1 species